rnacentral:misc_RNA from 1 species
GGUGAAGAACGCAGCGAAAUGCGAUAAGUAGUGUGAAUUGCAGAAUUCAGUGAAUCAUCGAAUCUUUGAACGCACAUUGCGCCCUUUGGUAUUCCAAAGGGCAUGCCUGUUCGAGCGUCAUUUGUACCCUCAAGCUUUGCUUGGUGUUGGGCGUCUUGUCUCUAGCUUUGCUGGAGACUCGCCUUAAAGUAAUUGGCAGCCGGCCUACUGGUUUCGGAGCGCAGCACAAGUCGCACUCUCUAUCAGCAAAGGUCUAGCAUCCAUUAAGCCUUUUUUUCAACUUUUGACCUCGGAUCAGGUAGGGAUACCCGCUGAACUUAAGCAUAUCAAUAAGCGGAGGA